UUUGCAACCAUUACUAUCUAAAGCAAAAUGAAGUCUCUAGUCGUUUUAAUUUCGACUUUACAAAUAGUUAUUGUUUCCAGUUUAAAUGAUGCGUAUUUCAGAAACUGGAUGCAGUGGCAACUGACUGACAGAAAAUUGAAGACGAAUAGCAUUUUGAAUGUCUUGACUGCUAUUUCCAAAAAAGUUAAUUCUAUUGAGUCUGAUCAAGGGGAUAAAAAUGGUUAUAUCGGAUGUUUUCUUGAUGAUAGCAGUCGUCAGUUACCAUAUAACUAUAAAAACUUAGGCGAAGGGAUUACCUUGGCAAAGUGUCGGGAAAACUGCAAAGGUUACAAAUACGUCGGCCUACAAUAUAGAGUUCAGUGCUUUUGUGGAAAUCGGCUGGAAAAGACAAGAUAUAAACAGAAACCGGAAUCCGAUUGCAACAUGAGAUGUCCGGGAGAACUAAGUAGGAUAUGUGGAAGUGCUAAUAGAAAUUCUGUGUAUUUAGUACAGCAAUAGAGAAGCAAGAACGCAAAAGAUCAGAAAAAAACCGACCGUUCCAAUAUUCAAUUAAAAUCGUCGAAACUUAUACACUAUUUAUCUUUAUUUAUUGAACUAUGAAGUUACACUCCUGUUACUGUUAUGUUUAUGGAAACAUUCAU